AUUUAUAUAGUUUAAAUUAAAACUUUACAUUUUCAUUGUAAAAAUAAAAUAUUUAUUUUUAUAAAUA
rnacentral:tRNA from 1 species